rnacentral:lncRNA from 1 species
GUUUUCAGGUUCCUGUGUCUUCCCGUUGAGUUGCUCGCUCCACGGCAUGGAGGACUAGGAAUCAGGAGUCAGUGGCCGUAUGCUGGAGGCUGGAGCCGCGGGAGCGCGGCUCGCCUCGCUGCGGUUGUUGGCAGCGACGGAGAUAGGAGUGCGGCUGGAGCGAUGUGCCAGGUGGUGCCAGUGCCAGCUAAUCACCUCCCUGUUGGCAGCACCGUGAACACUGUGCACCUGUCUUCAGAUGGCACUUAAAGCAGAGAAGCCUGCUGUGUGGCUGUGGGAGUCAUCAGAGAGGUGGCAGUGGAGGUUUGUUAUCGACCCAAUCAUUACAUCGCUACCCAAGAGUUGGAAACUUCCUGUGUUGCCCACGCUGGUCUCAAACUCCUGGACUCAUGGGAUCCUCCCACCUUGGCCUCCCAAAGCAGUGGUAUUACAGGCAUGAGCCAUUGCACUGGGCUCCUGUUUAGUUUUAAUUUUAAAACACCUCAAGAGUCAGAUAAUUCAGGGAAAGACCAUGCAAGGCUGUUACUGAAGAAAGUGCUACGAGUCUGUUCUAGACAUGGCUUGCCUAGCACUGAGCAUCCUUCCUCACUUCUAAGUGAGAAUUUUCCAGAUCUGUGCAUUGGGGUCCCCCAAGAAAGAGGCUCAGUCCUGAUGUACUGUUUCCUGUAUACUGCAUGCUCACCCCCCAAAACCACAUGGUUAAUCCAGAUCCAGCCCCUGCUUUCUUAGUUAUGAGGCUUCUCAUGGCAAAGCAAUAAAAAGCAAGUUUUCAAUGAUAAAGUCAUGUCUGAAAACAUGUUAAUUGUCAUCAUCUUUGAUGUUGUAACCUGAGCUAUAGAUUGUUGGGAUGCACACGUUACUCUUUUAAGCUUAUGUGCCUUGAUUCUGUCUACAUCAUUUCUUUCUUUCUGAACUGUGAACUGCGCUAAUUUGAUGGGGUUUGCUACCUGAUUGGGGUCCUGACCUUAGCCUUCAUCUUGCCAUAUACAGUUUGUUUUUGUCUCCAUCAGCGUUAGCUCUGUUCAACGCCCUUGUGGAGUCCAGGACUUAGAGAGAGGAUCUCCAAGCAGAAGCCCCCAGCCCACGUGAGAACAGGGAGACCCUUGUGCCCUUAACUGUUUUCCAUAGUACUGCCCAGCCUUGUACACUCUGGCCCAAAUGUUCCUCACCUUUGGAAGACACAGAACUUCUUUCAAAACCAUUGAAAUAUCGAGAUCAUUUCCGCAGAAAGAAAAUGUAAUUUAAGAAACGAGGUCUUGCUAUUUUGCCCAG